AGUGGAAUUGCUGGGUCAUAUGUUAACUCUAUGAUUAACAUUUUGAGAAACUAUCAAACUGUUUACCAAAGCAGCUGUGCCAUGUUGCAAUCCCACCAGCAGU
rnacentral:pre_miRNA from 1 species